GACGAACGCUGGCGGCGUGCUUAACACAUGCAAGUCGAACGCUGAAGCUCAGCUUUUGUUGGGUGGAUGAGUGGCGAACGGGUGAGUAACACGUGAGUAACCUGCCCCCUUCUUUGGGAUAACGCCCGGAAACGGGUGCUAAUACUGGAUAUUCACUGGUCUUCGCAUGGGGGUUGGUGGAAAGGGGUUUUCUGGUGGUGGAUGGGCUCGCGGCCUAUCAGCUUGUUGGUGGGGUGAUGGCCUACCAAGGCUUUGACGGGUAGCCGGCCUGAGAGGGUGACCGGUAACAUUGGGACUGAGAUACGGCCCAGACUCGUACGGGGGGCAGCAGUGGGGAAUAUUGCACAAUGGGCGCAAGCCUGAUGCAGCGACGCCGCGUGAGGGAUGGAGGCCUUCGGGUUGUGAACCUCUUUCGCUAAUGGUCAAGCCGCAACAAUGGUUGUGGUGAGGGUAGUGGGUAAAGAAGCGCCGGCUAACUACGUG
rnacentral:rRNA from 1 species